UUGGAAAUUUACUUUAGAUUGGCUAUUUUGGAAGUGCGUACGAGGUACAGACGCACAGCCUGGUGAUCCACCUGUUUAGGACACCCUUUCUGCUAUUCGGAGUGCUCCUCUCUUUCCGGAGCUUAUACUUUUGGUAUAUAUAUUUAUUAGUGCAUUUGUAUAUAUUCGUUCAUGGGUACGGCAGGGCCCUGUCCCGUCAUAUGAUUCUGUCGGUCUGUUUAGAGGUCUGUGGACAUGUUUGUGGGUUGGGGUCUUUCUGUAUAGAUGUAUGUACAUGUCGUUUGGGCGAUCCCAUACGCCGAGGCGGCCGGUCCGCAUAUGUUGUUUGGGCGAUCCUAUACGCCGAGGCGGCCGGUCCGCAUAUGUUUAUAUAUUGCUUGGUUAGCCCUGUGUGGCUUUUGUUGGUA